AUUGCCUGCUAAUUUUGUACUGGAUUGAAUUAAUUUCAAGACCCAAUUAAUUAAAACAGAUGAAGCUCCUGUUAUCUAUUAUUCAUGAGCUUGUUGGAAUAGGAAGAGGCCCAGUAGUUGCAGUAAGGAUAUUACACUGUUUCAGUGAACUUUUUUGGUGCCCGGGAAGGGUCCUUGUGAGGAGUCCCACAUGCCGUCUCCAAUUCGUGGCUGUGACAAUGCUCCGGUUUGCUCUGGGAAAGGACCUGCGAAUGUAGAAAUGGCUGUUCUGAAUCACGGACUUCAGAAGGUCCAGCUGACUAAUCAGCAGCAUGGAGAAAAGCAAGAUGGAGAUGAAGGAUGGAGAGCAAGCAAUGGCUGAUGUCGGGAAGAAGGAGACACGAGUGGACUAGCCCUUUCUGCCUGCCAGAGACCGGUCCUCAGGAGACGGAUUCCACCCGGCUGAGAUGCCUACUCAGAAACUCACCCAGAGUUGGUCUGUUUAAAAUCAGUCUCCAAUGAAAACCAAAUGAGCGGACCCCGUGGGAAUGACGUUGGCAGCCUGCAGUGGGGGUGCGGGCUCCUGGGCUCACGUGUCGCAGACUCCAAGUCCCCCCUCCCCCGCCAGACUCUCCUUGUUAUUCUUCACCAACAACAUAGCCAAGACCUCUCUGCAGGGAAUGAGUCUCUGUCCUGGGAGAUAAUCACGGGCCCAGUUUCCAGGUCUGGAAGGAGCAUCACAAUCCAUUCUUGUUAGGUGUCGGGGCAGCGGUCAGACGUGGGCGGGCUCAGGGAGACCUUUUUGAGCGCCGGCUACCUGUCCACACAGAGCCAGGGACGAAACUGGGCGUGUGAGUUCCUGUCCUUGGAAAGGUUCUAGCCUCAUCCAAGCAUCUUUCUGGGGCCGGGUGGGAGGAGAGGAGACAGGGACAGUGGCUCGGCCCAGACACAACAUGAACAGGUGCUUCUGCCAGAACCACCCAUGGGUGAUGACCGCACAGGUUCUGCAGAAAGGCCUCGAAUAGGCCAGAUACUUCCAGAUAUUUCUAGAUACUCUGCUCCCUUGGCCGGCGUGAAUACUGACUUGGGCUUUAGAAAAUACCCACAGAGUAAGAGGAACAGGGACCCGGCAUCUGUUGAAUAUCUAACAUUUACCAAGCCUUAUCCUCUCUCUUUGUCCUGACCACCAUGGGAGGAGCCAAGUGCUAUUUUUCCGGAAGCUUCUGUUGCCGAGGCCAACGAGCAAACUGCGGUCCGGGACGGGGGAGUCGCCUGGCUGACAUCGUGGGUGGGUCCGACUUUUCCAUGUUGAUGUGAGACCCUGAAGAUCAAAGCAGCAGGGGACAUGGGUGGC